rnacentral:rRNA from 1 species
UACGGAGGGUGCGAGCGUUUGUCCGGAAUCAUUGGGCGUAAAGGGCGCGUAGGUGGCGGGACAAGCGUGCGGUGAAAGCUCGGGGCUCAACCCCGCGUCGGCCGUGCGAACUGUUUUGCUUGAGCACUGUAGAGGCAGGCGGAAUUCCGGGUGUAGCGGUGGAAUGCGUAGAGAUCCGGAAGAACACCGGUGGCGAAGGCAGCCCCCUGGGUUAACACUGACGCUCAGGCACGAAAGCGUGGGGAUCAAACAGG